rnacentral:tRNA from 1 species
GAGGAUAUAGCUCAGUGGUAGAGCACAUGCUUAGCAUGCAAGAGGUCCUGGGUUCAAUUCCUAGUACCUCCA